rnacentral:rRNA from 1 species
GACGAACGCUGGCGGCGUGCUUAACACAUGCAAGUCGAACGGAAAGGCCCUGCUUUUGCGGGGUGCUCGAGUGGCGAACGGGUGAGUAACACGUGAGUAACCUGCCCUUGACUUUGGGAUAACUUCAGGAAACUGGGGCUAAUACCGGAUAGGAGCUCCUGCUGCAUGGUGGGGGUUGGAAAGUUUCGGCGGUUGGGGAUGGACUCGCGGCUUAUCAGCUUGUUGGUGGGGUAGUGGCUUACCAAGGCUUUGAGGGGUAGCCGGCCUGAGAGGGUGACCGGCACCAUGGGACUGAGGUACGGACCAGACUCCUACCGGGGGCAACGGUGGGGAAUAUUGCCCAAUGGGCCGGAGCCCGAGGCGACAACGCCGGGGUCGGGAAGACCGCCUUUGGGGUGUAAACCGCUUUCGGCUUUUACCAAGCGUUAGUGACGGUAAUGGGUAAAGAAGCACCGGCUAACUACGUG